CCACGGGCAUGCAUAAGGUGAAAUUGAAUGUGAGAGAGUGAAGUUUGGACGCGGAAAAGUUUAAAAUAGAGAAGCAUAACGCAAAAAAACUUCGAAACAAUGGCAAAAUUAAAGUCUCACUGCGUACAGAAAGUAAUGUAAUUCUAUAUCCUCAUAAGAUAUUGAUGGCUAUCAGAAAUCCACCUUGGCUGCUAAUGAGUAUGAUGACUUCAUACUAAAUACUGUUGAUAUGCGCAUACCAUAUUGCAUAAAAAUGUUUGUUUCAUGUUUUUUGUGGAAAAUCGAUCGCUAUGAUUGACAUCUAAAACUGAACACUUAAAAAUUCUGGAUAACAAAUUUGUAACAUGCUUGUAAAUUCAUUUUAUAUAGCCUGUAUUUAGAACAUAAGUUCUUGAACAUUGAAAAAUUGAUUAAAAAUAAAGUAUUUAAUUUAAUUAAA